CUAGGGCGCGAGCCCGGGC
rnacentral:snRNA from 1 species